AUGAUUAUAUUAUAUGUGGACUAACGUCACUUGUGCAAGAUAAUUGCUAAGUGAAUGCAGAUUAGUGAUAUGAUGAGUUUGUUGGAAAGUUGCAAUUCUUUAUGGUCUACUAGUUAGCCUAAAGAAUGAUGGCAAUAAAAGGAAGUCAAGGAUCUUUUGAAUAUGCGCAAUUUGGAAGAUUCUAGACCUGCCAAGACUUAUGCCAACAACCACUGGACUUGAUCAGUACAAGAAAGGUACAUCAACUGAAAUCUCAAGUCUCAGAGGCAUUCAACUCAUCACUUUACUCAACUGCAAGUGGAUCACAUACUAUAUUUUCUAUAAGGUACUACUUCUUUCAUGAGCAUGUCUAUCGUAUUUCUUAAAUGAAUUCAUGAGUAUUAAAUUGUCUAUACGUAGGACUUGUGAAUUUAUUUAAAAUCCAGUACCUCGUGCUUUUUGUUAUUCUAUGUGAUUGUCAUGUUUAUUGCUUUGCAUGCUUAGAUGGUGAUUACAUGUUUUAGCAUGAGUGUUUGUUAUUUCAAUUAUUUAAAUUGUGUUGCAUGACAAUUAAGUGACUUAUUUGUUCAUGAUUUAAAUGAUUAGGGAUGACAUGAAGCAUGACUUAAUUAUGUUAUUUUUCUUGAUCUAUACCUCUUUAACAAUUGGUAUCUAGUAGAGAACUUUGUCAUAAUCUAGUCGUGAUAUAUCUGUAUUUGUGAACAUACUUAGGAUUAUUUUCUAGGUUGAAUUCAUUUUUAUAGGUAUAAAAUCUGAAGCAUGACUUAUUUGUUUCUAGACUUGUGACUUGUAUCAGUAAUUGGUAUGUGGUUAGAAUCUAGUUAGAAUUUAGUCAUGAUAUACUAGUAUUUGUGGAGUUACUUAGAUUCUCUCUAGGCUGAAUCCAUUUAUAUUAGUGUAUAUACUUGAAGCAUAACUAUUUGUGUUGGAUAUUUGAUGAUUUAUUAAUUGAUAUUUUAUUUCAUGUCUAACUGCAUAUAGUUGUGAUACUUUUAGUGUUAGUGAUAUUAUUGCAUGCUUAUAUGUAGAUCACUAAUAUUAAUUGUUAAUAUUUUUCUGCGAGGAGUUGUGUGCGUUCACGUGUGUUUAGUGAUUAUUUGUAUAGGACUCGUGAACUUUUCCUCAACUUUCCCUCGGGCUUGCGAAUAUCUUUGUAUGAUUGUCAUGAUUUUAGUUGUUAUAUGCUGAUCUGAUAAUUAUAUGAUAUUGCGUAGGUAAUUAUUAUUUUAUCUUAGUUAAAUUGUGAUCCAUGACAAUUAUAUGCUUAUUUGUUUCAUGAUUGACUUUGAUAGAAUAAUAGAAGCAUGAUUAAUUCAUUUUUGAAAUAUUUAAUUGGUAUCUAUUUUUGAUGCUUUAUUGAUGUUUUAUUUGUGAAUUGAUUGUGAUGUAUUGGCACUGGUGAAAUAUUGUUGCAUAUUUCUUAAAACCACUGGUGCUAAUAUAUUUUAGGUGUUUAAUAUUCUGAGUACAAGGGAGACAACAUAAUCUUUAUUCUGUCUCAUAUUUAUGUUCUGGAGUGGUGAGUUUCUUCAAAGAAAUUUUCUUAUCAAUUGAUUUCAACAAUUGGUAUCCACUACUCUAUUUCAUAAAUAUUUCUUAGAAUAUUUUGCAUCUAUACAUGUAGCGUCAUAGGACGAGACAUUGAUUAUCUUGUAUUUGUGUACUUGGUGAUCUUUGUCACUUGCAGCGUCUGUUUUGACGAUGUGCUAGUAUGAGGCCUUUUCACUAAUUAGUGUGGCGAGUGCUUUAUACACUGUAGCGCAUAAAUUUUCUUGUUUCCUUUUUAAAUUGUAGUGAGAAACAGGAGUCUGUGUCUUUUUCAAAGACAAGUUCAUUUAAACCUUUUAUGCAUAGAUUCAGACUCUCGUACUCAAACCAGUUUUUAAUGGAAAACUUUGAUUCUUUCAUCGGUUGUGAUUGUCAUUCUUUAUGAAAAUCAUUUUUACAAUCACAACUGAUUCAUUUUUCCUCAAAAGAUUAAAUGCAAUUGCUUUCAUUCAAAAUCAUAGAUUUUCUAAAAUGCAUUUAUAUCUCUUUCUGUUCUUCGGAACUUAAUCAGCCUCUUGGCUUUCCUAGAUAGUCAUAAGGUUGAAAACCAACAAUCUUUAUCCCAGACUAUAAAACCAAAUUCAGAACACAUCCCAACUUUCCCCC
rnacentral:lncRNA from 1 species